AUAUCGUCAUUCUUCAGCUGAACAUCAACCUGUUCAGGAAAAGAUGAUGACCACUUGAGCUUGAACAUAAUAAAUAAGAGGCUGUAGUCUACUGACAUCAAGAUAAUGCUUCGACUUUAAACAAAGAGAACCAUAAAGAUUAACGGGUCGUUUGAUUUUGAGAUUUGGUCGAAAGUGAUUUCUAGCAAGAAAUUUGAAAUAGGAGGGAUUUGAAGUAUGCAAGUGA
rnacentral:lncRNA from 1 species